rnacentral:rRNA from 1 species
CGGACGGGUGAGUAACGCGUGGGUAACCUGCCUUAUACAGGGGGAUAACAGUCAGAAAUGACUGCUAAUACCGCAUAAGCGCACAGAGCUGCAUGGCUCGGUGUGAAAAACUCCGGUGGUAUAAGAUGGACCCGCGUUGGAUUAGCUAGUUGGUGAGGUAACGGCCCACCAAGGCGACGAUCCAUAGCCGGCCUGAGAGGGUGAACGGCCACAUUGGGACUGAGACACGGCCCAGACUCCUACGGGAGGCAGCAGUGGGGAAUAUUGCACAAUGGGGGAAACCCUGAUGCAGCGACGCCGCGUGAAGGAAGAAGUAUCUCGGUAUGUAAACUUCUAUCAGCAGGGAAGAAAAUGACGGUACCUGACUAAGAAGCCCCGGCUAACUACGUGCCAGCAGCCGCGGUAAUACGUAGGGGGCAAGCGUUAUCCGGAUUUACUGGGUGUAAAGGGAGCGUAGACGGAUGGACAAGUCUGAUGUGAAAGGCUGGGGCUCAACCCCGGGACUGCAUUGGAAACUGCCCGUCUUGAGUGCC